rnacentral:lncRNA from 1 species
GGGAUAUGCAUGGUUGCAGGGCCUCAUGGACGAUGGUAGAGCUGUUCUGAUUGGUGGACUUGAAGAUACCAUCAUAGAAUUUGCAGAUCACCGCUGCUAUUUAGUCUUCUUCAAAACACAGUAUUCCUCUGUCGUCUUCAAUCACAGACAAUCUAUUUCUUGCUUUCUUGCCCUUUGCCAUUGCAUGAAAAUAACUCGUAUUAGAAUCCCCAAGCGUCAACCACAAUUGUCUGCUCCUUUGUUUCCAAAAUUCUUAUUCCUUUACGUACGCUUGUAGUAGAGAUUUGUUGAUUUGGUAUAUGACUUCCUCGUUUUGAGAUGAUUUUGACAUUUCAUUGUCCAGUUGCAUACGCAGUUUCUCAAUUGACUCUCUGCUAUCUUCAUAGUGCUUCUUGCUCCAUUUGCAGAUUGCUCUUCUGCAGUGUGAGAGUUUCUCUUCAACGUGUAGGUGGGGUACACUAUCCCAAACCUUCUUUAUAAGUGCUCUUACCUCCAUGUUAUCUCUCAAACGUCUACCAAAUCUGAAUAUUUUUGUCCCUUUUCUUCUUGUAGUGUCCAUGAAAGAGAGCAAUGGUUUAUGAUCUGUGCCCUCGUACUUAAGGUAUUGGCUUCGGCAUGCUGGAAACAGAUC